GACGAACGCUGGCGGCGCGCUUAACACAUGCAAGUCGAACGGAAAGGCCUGCUUUCCCUUGUGGAUUGCGGGUACUCGAGUGGCGAACGGGUGAGUAACACGUGAGUGAUCUGCCCCCAACUUGGGUAUAAGCCUGGGAAACUGGGUCUAAUUCCCGAUAGGACUGCAGGGUGGUGCCUGUGGUGGAAAACGAUUUUCUGGUGGUUGGGGAUGAGCUCGCGGCCUAUCAGCUUGUUGGUGGGGGAAUGGCCUACCAAGGCGGCGACGGGUAGCCGGCCUGAGAGGGUGGACGGCCACAUUGGGACAGAGAUACGGCCCAGACUCCUACGGGAGGCAGCAGUGGGGAAUAAUGGACAAUGGGCGGAAGCCUGAUGCAGCGACGCCGCGGGGGGGAUGACGGGCUUCGGGUUGUAAACUCCUUUCGACCGCGAGGAAGCCACCUGGUUGGAAGAGUGGUGACGGUAGUGGUAGAAGAAGCACCGGCUAACUACGUG
rnacentral:rRNA from 1 species